rnacentral:rRNA from 1 species
UACGUAGGGUGCAAGCGUGUUCGGAAUCAUUUGGGCGUAAAGCGCGUGUAGGUGGCUAGUUAAGUUGGAUGUGAAAUCCCUGGGCUCAACCGAGGAAGUGCAUUCAAAACUGGCUGGCUAGAGGAUGGUAGAGGAAGGUGGAAUUCCAAGUGUAGAGGUGAAAUUCGUAGAGAUUAGGAAGACACCAGUGGCGAAGGCGACUUACUGGACUGUAACGUGACGCUGAGGCAUGAA